rnacentral:rRNA from 1 species
UACGUAGGGCGCAAGCGUUGUCCGGAAUUACUGGGCGUAAAGCGUGCGCAGGCGGUUUUGUAAGCCAGAUGUGAAAUCCCCGGGCUUAACCUGGGAAUGGCAUUUGGGACUGCAAGGCUCGAGUGCGGCAGAGGAGACUGGAAUUCCUGGUGUAGCAGUGAAAUGCGUAGAUAUCAGGAGGAACACCGAUGGCGAAGGCAGGUCUCUGGGCUGACACUGACGCUGAUGCGCGAAAGCCAGGGGAGCGAACGGG